UGGGGAAUUUUGCGCAAUGGGCGAAAGCCUGACGCAGCGACGCCGCGUGGGUGACGAAGGCCCUCGGGUUGUAAAGCCCUGUGGGGAGGGAAGAAUAAGGGGCGGCUAACAUCCGCACCGAUGACGGUACCUCCUUAGCAAGCACCGGCUAACUCUGUGCCAGCAGCCGCGGUAAGACAGAGGGUGCAAACGUUGUUCGGAAUUACUGGGCGUAAAGCGCGUGUAGGCGGCUACGCAAGUCGGAUGUGAAAGCCCUUGGCUCAACUGAGGAAGUGCAUUCGAAACUGCGUAGCUCGAGUCCCGGAGAGGAUGGUGGAAUUCUCGGUGUAGAGGUGAAAUUCGUAGAUAUCGAGAGGAACACCAGUGGCGAAGGCGGCCAUCUGGACGGUGACUGACGCUG
rnacentral:rRNA from 1 species